ACUAAAUUUGGGUGACUCACAGAAGAAAGGAGCUUGAUUUCAUUCAUGACUUGGUCAGCACUAUUGGGGUCUCUCUGAAAAAAGUAAGACAGAGAGA